rnacentral:rRNA from 1 species
UACGUAGGUGGCAAGCGUUGUCCGGAUUUACUGGGCGUAAAGAGCGCGCAGGCGGUCGUACAAGUCGCGUGUGAAAGCCCCCGGCUCAACUGGGGAGGGUCACGCGAUACUGUUCGACUGGAAGGCAGGAGAGGGAAGUGGAAUUCCCGGUGUAGUGGUGAAAUGCGUAGAUAUCGGGAGGAACCCCUGCGGUGUAGACGGCUUACUGGACCGCCACUGACGCUGAGGCACGAAAGCGUGGGUAGCAAACAGG